rnacentral:lncRNA from 1 species
GGAUGUGGGAGGAUAUGGGGCUGUAGGGUGCUGUGUGGGGAUCUCGAGGGAUAUGGGGAUAUCGGUGGGUUUUGGGAAUAGAGGGGGAUGGAGGGAUGUGGGGCCACAGGGGGUGCUAUAGAGGGAUCCAGGGCUGUGAGUGGGUUGUAGGAGGAGAUGGGGCUGUAGGGGGCUGUGUUGGGAAUCCAGGGAGGGUGUGAGGGGCCAUGGGGAGGCCAGAGGGAGAAAUGGGACUGUAUGGGGUAUAGGGUAGGGCUUUGGGGCGACAGGGGGCUGUAGUGGGUUAUAGGGGUGGAUAUUGGGGGAUAUGGGGCUGUAGUGUUCUGUGGGGGCUAUCAGGAGGGAUGUGGGGCUAUCAGGGGCUUUAGGAGGGCUGUAGAGGGAUAUAGGGCUGUGUGGGGGUUGUUGGAGGAUAUGAGGCUAUAGUGCGCUAGGGUGGCUCUAGGGGUGUGCGGGGCUUUAGGGAGCUUAAUUGUGUCUCUAGGUGGGCUAUGGGGCUCUAGAAAGCUGUGGGGGACUGUAGAAGGGGUAUUGGGGUAUAUGGGAAAAGAGGGGGCUGUGGUUGGGAUCUAGGGAUCUGUGGGCAGCUAUUGGGGGAUAUGGGGCUCUAGGGUGCUGCAGGGUCUUUACAGAGUGUUUUAGAGCUAUAUGGGGGAUAUAGGGGGACUUGGUUCUCUAGGGGGCUGUGGGGGUAUAGGGGUGAUAUGGGUCUGUAGGGGGCUUUGGGAGGAGCUCCACGGUUCUAUGAGGGGGCUGUAAGGGCUAUAGGUGUGUUCGAGGGGGAUAUGUGGCUUUAGGGGUUUGUGGCAACAUGUGGGAGGGUUGAGGGUGCUAGGGGUUGGGGGGGGCUCUAGGGCAGGAUGUUGUGCUGUAGGAGAUUGUGGGGGCCUGAGGGAGGAUAUAGGGUGUCUGUGGGGAUAUAGGGGAGAUAUGGAGUCUAGAAGGGUUCUAGGGGGAUAUGAGGCUGGAUAUGGGAGAGUGUGGGGGGCUCUGGAGGGAGUCUAGG